ACUACAGUCGUACGCUUCUUUUUCCACCGGAGCUUGCUCCACCGGGAAAAGAAGAGUGGCGAACGGGUGAGUAACACGUGGGUAACCUGCCCAUCAGAAGGGGAUAACACUUGGAAACAGGUGCUAAUACCGUAUAACAAUCGAAACCGCAUGGUUUUGAUUUGAAAGGCGCUUUCGGGUGUCGCUGAUGGAUGGACCCGCGGUGCAUUAGCUAGUUGGUGAGGUAACGGCUCACCAAGGCCACGAUGCAUAGCCGACCUGAGAGGGUGAUCGGCCACAUUGGGACUGAGACACGGCCCAAACUCCUACGGGAGGCAGCAGUAGGGAAUCUUCGGCAAUGGACGAAAGUCUGACCGAGCAACGCCGCGUGAGUGAAGAAGGUUUUCGGAUCGUAAAACUCUGUUGUUAGAGAAGAACAAGGAUGAGAGUAACUGUUCAUCCCUUGACGGUAUCUAACCAGAAAGCCACGGCUAACUACGUGCCAGCAGCCGCGGUAAUACGUAGGUGGCAAGCGUUGUCCGGAUUUAUUGGGCGUAAAGCGAGCGCAGGCGGUUUCUUAAGUCUGAUGUGAAAGCCCCCGGCUCAACCGGGGAGGGUCAUUGGAAACUGGGAGACUUGAGUGCGGAAGAGGAGAGUGGAAUUCCAUGUGUAGCGGUGAAAUGCGUAGAUAUAUGGAGGAACACCAGUGGCGAAGGCGGCUCUCUGGUCUGUAACUGACGCUGAGGCUCGAAAGCGUGGGGAGCAAACAGGAUUAGAUACCCUGGUAGUCCACGCCGUAAACGAUGAGUGCUAAGUGUUGGAGGGUUUCCGCCCUUCAGUGCUGCAGCUAACGCAUUAAGCACUCCGCCUGGGGAGUACGACCGCAAGGUUGAAACUCAAAGGAAUUGACGGGGGCCCGCACAAGCGGUGGAGCAUGUGGUUUAAUUCGAAGCAACGCGAAGAACCUUACCAGGUCUUGACAUCCUUUGACCACUCUAGAGAUAGAGCUUCCCCUUCGGGGGCAAAGUGACAGGUGGUGCAUGGUUGUCGUCAGCUCGUGUCGUGAGAUGUUGGGUUAAGUCCCGCAACGAGCGCAACCGGAUUGUUAGUUGCCAUCAUUUAGUUGGGCACUCUAGCAAGACUGCCGGUGACAAACCGGAGGAAGGUGGGGAUGACGUCAAAUCAUCAUGCCCCUUAUGACCUGGGCUACACACGUGCUACAAUGGGAAGUACAACGAGUCGCGAAGUCGCGAGGCUAAGCUAAUCUCUUAAAGCUUCUCUCAGUUCGGAUUGUAGGCUGCAACUCGCCUACAUGAAGCCGGAAUCGCUAGUAAUCGCGGAUCAGCACGCCGCGGUGAAUACGUUCCCGGGCCUUGUACACACCGCCCGUCACACCACGAGAGUUUGUAACACCCGAAGUCGGUGAGGUAACCUUUGGAGCCAGCCGCCUAAGUA
rnacentral:rRNA from 1 species